rnacentral:rRNA from 1 species
UCAGGCCUAACACAUGCAAGUCGAGCGGGGUUUUCGGACCUAGCGGCGGACGGGUGAGUAAUGCGUAGGAAGCUACCCGAUAGAGGGGGAUACCAGUUGGAAACGACUGUUAAUACCGCAUAAUGUCUACGGACCAAAGUGUGGGACCUUCGGGCCACAUGCUAUCGGAUGCGCCUACGUGGGAUUAGCUAGUUGGUGAGGUAAUGGCUCACCAAGGCGACGAUCUCUAGCUGGUUUGAGAGGAUGAUCAGCCACACUGGAACUGAGACACGGUCCAGACUCCUACGGGAGGCAGCAGUGGGGAAUAUUGGACAAUGGGCGCAAGCCUGAUCCAAAAGUGCCGCGUGUGUGAAGAAGGCCUUCGGG